CUCCCUCUUUUAAUAUGGCACAUCUUCCCCUUUCUCUGCUAUUUGAGGCUAACAGCUUCUUUUGUUUGGCCCAGAGCACCCUGGCUCCUGGGACAUUAGCAGAAGGGAAUGCCAAGGCACACUGGGCCGCGCCCAGUGUGGGGGAUGUUUGAGGGCUUCAGGGGCACCCACACUCAGUGUGGGGGGUGCAGAGAAGCUUAUACAAUGCCUACAGUCAGGUCUGAUCAGAUAACAAAACGGGACUCUCGUCGAGACUCCGCCCAUUGCCGCGGGUCUCUUGGAGCACGAGCUUGGCCACUGCCGCCACGAGAGCCCCCCUCCCCGGGAUGGAGGCUCCGCUUGCCUCGCCGCCACGGUGUAAGUAAAACUUCUCGCAGGAUUGCGAGUAUAUUUUCUUUCCGUGCACACUUGCACAAGUACUUUAUUUCCUCGCACAAUCGCGAGUGGCCGCCGAGAGCCCCUCGCACAAUCGCGAGUAUAUUUUCCUCCCGUGCUUCCACAUAAGCACGUGUAGGAUUCCGUGCACAUUUGCACGUGUAAAAUAACUCUCGCAGGACUGCGAGCGUAUUAUAAAUUUACUCUCGCGACAUCGCGAGUGCACACUUUCCAUACUCACUGCGAGUACGUGUAUCUCUAUAAAAAUAAUCCCACACCGUGUUUAGGCAAGUGUGUACUCCUCCGGGACUCGGGGACGGCUCCGGCAUUGUUUUGGUGAAGCCACGUGCAUGCACUCUGUGGACCUCCUGUUGUAUUAGUGGCUGCCCCUCUCAAUAAUUUCCUCCACUGAUAUCCGAACCUGUAUUUAAGUCACAUUUGGAGUGCUAAAACCCUGUGCCUCGCUGGUCUAAUAAAAGUUGUUUUUGGACCUUGUGGUCCCUAAAAUUGACCUGUGGGUUGCUCUGUGACAUUUCUGGCGUAGUCGUGCAGGAUAUCAGAGAUGGAGGAAUUAUUUGGAGGGUUGAGUAAUAUCUCUGCAGUAAUCUGGGGCCUUGUAGUUAUAGGGUCUGCGGUGUGUGCCAGUUUGAGUGUUUACUUAAAGGUAACACAGGAUCUGUGUAAACUUAAGGACCGAAUGGAGGAAAACCUUUCACGGGAGAGUGAACGAUUUGACUCUUUAAGGCAGGACUUUUCGUGGCAAAACAAACAGUUUGACUCUUUAAAGAAAAACCUCUCGUGGCAAAAUGAGCAGUCCGAGAUUGUUAAGCAGGACCUCUUGCGACAAAGCGAAUGGUUUGACUCUUUAAAGGAGGACUUUUCGUGGCAAAGCAAACAGUUUGAUUCUUUAAAGCAAAGCCUUUCGUGGCAGAGUGAGCAGUCUGACUUUCUUAAGCAGGACUUUGCGCAGCAGAGCGAAAAGUUUGACUCUUUGAAACAAAACCUUUUGCGGCAAAGCGAACAGUUUGAGUCUUUAAUACAGGACUUUUCGCGGCAAAGCAUACGGUCAGAUUAUUUAGAACAGAGGUUUGGCUUGUUAGAACAGAAACUUGGUUUUUUGGAACAGAAACUUGAGUUUUUGUUAUUUAAUAUAAGAACCGCCUCUAGUGUCUCCCCCGUUCAGGCGUGCGCCUCGGCCCCCCCGAUUCUCGACAAAGAUACUGAUUCUGAAAACAGUGUUGAUGUGUGGGGGGUAGAAACAAAGGACGUGCGUCCUCUUAUUAGAACUGAGACACAUACGGAUGGACGAGGCAGAAAUCCACGCACGGCUACCCAUAGCACGCCAUAUUCAGGACUGGAGCUAGGGGAUUUACAAACUAGAUUCUCACGGAAGCCGGGCGAAACAGAGACUGAAUAUCUUUGGCGCGUUUCGCUUACUGGGGGUGACAGAAUAUUAUUGAGUACGGAUGAGGCCACAGGUUUCUGGGGCCCAGGGGUAUUUUUAAGUGAUGGUCCAGACGGUGAUCAGUCCAUUACAUCUCGUGUCGCUUACUGGGCUGGUGGUAUAGACCCCAGGGAACGUGGGGAGCCAGUGGCAAUUGUUAUAAAAGGUUUAUCAGAUCUUGCCGAGGGAGUUCAAAAGGCGGCUUGUAUACAAGCAAUGUAUGAAAGAGGCCGGCAGUCCCCCCCUAUGGCGGCGCCGGUGGAUCCGGUCCACCUUCGGCUGCUUAUUAAAGGACUACCGGAUGCCUUAAAAAUAUAUGUCCAGUCCCUUAAGGAAAAAAUUCAGGGGGCUAUUGAUCGUAAUAAGCAAAAUCCCCGAAGUCCUCCUGAACAUGUAUUAACCUGGGCGGAAAUUUUACACAAUGUGGUUACACAUGGGCGCGAGAUGGGGUGGGUAGACCCGAGCGGCAGCCCGUGUAGAAGCCGGACGGUCCGGAAGAUGAGCCGAGCCGAGCCUCUUCAGGGACCGCCCCCCACUAGGCCGCCCCCCCCGUCACAGAAACCGGAGCGUUUUCCAAAUCAGGGUAGCAGCUUGCAGCGGGGCGACCUGUGGCGCCGCGCAGCCGCUUUGGGAGUGCCCCGAACACUGCUACAUAAGCUUUCCACUGAGCAUUUACAGGAGCUAGUGGAAUAUUUAGAGGGAAGAUCAGAGAACCAAGAGGAGGCACCGGUAACCGCCCCCCUCCCUGAGGACAAGCGAAACACUAACCCGUUCGUAUCCUCACAAAGGGAGUCAAAAAACUAGUAAAAGCGGAUGGGAACCGGGACCGCCCCACCCGCUUUGUAUUCUCUUGCCAAUGGUCCAGUGAUAAAGAGCCAUACAUACAUAUCCCCGUGGGUCCAAGGCGGAUAAGUGUGAAAUUUCUAAUUGACACGGGCGCACAAAUCAGUGUUUUGAACAGGCGGCAAGCUGACAAACUUGGGAUUAAACCAUCAAGGAAAGUCAUCAAUAUAGUGGGGGUAACGGGUGUAGCAGAGAGGUGUCCUUUAGCUCGAACCCACCUUUUGCUGCCUGGGGAAAAGCGGACAACGGCUGUGGAAGUUGCCCUGAGCCCUUAUAAGGCAAACAUAUUGGGAUUUGAUAUUUUGGCAGGUAGACGGUGGUGCUUACCUAAUGGAGAGAUUUGGAGCUUUGGGAGUCACAGAGCAGAGGUAGCCCGUAUUAGAAUAUUGCCAUUUACCUCUGCACCCUUGCAGCCCGAAAGAACCACUGACAUUAGGAUUUUGCAACUUGCUCCUGCUCCACCCACAUCUACAAUAACCUGUACCCCACGAUACCCCCUGCCAAAAGCAGCAAAACGGGGCACUACGGAGGUUAUUAGUGAUCUUGAAGAAAGACAAACAAUUAGCCGCGGUGUCCAGACGGCCCCCUCCCCGUACCGGCAACUCGGGCGGUCCGGCAUAGCAAAGCCCCACCCCGCGAGUGCCGGCCGCUGCCCCGGGACUGGCGGCGCGAGACGGAGCAGCCUGAGAGAGCUGCUAGAAACACAUGUCCAGUACGGGCAUAACCCGAGAAACGGAGGCAAACCUCCCCCCGUAAAACUUCUGUCGCCUCCCGGCUGGCCGCCCCCCCCCCCGCCACCAUUCCUGGCAUCCAAGUCCUGGUGGUGUGGGGCGGGGCAGCCCGGCCUCGCGAGCGCUGGCAGGCAACCACCUUCCCCGGGUUGGCCGCCUCCCCCCCGCUCGCUGCGGGCGGGAGCGCCCCCCCCCCCCCACUCUUGCGAACUGGAAAAGAAAAAAAAAAGGGGAAAAAAAGCCGCGGCUUGGGACCAGUGACCCCGCCCCGGCUCAGUGCUCUCUGAGGGUCAGAAGCAGCUCCCAUUAGGACCCGGCAAUGUGCCUCAGCACUGCUGCUUACUAAAAGUAGCUGCUAAUAUUACUUGCUAUCAAAAAAUUUACUGGCACUCCACUGCAGCUAAAUGGGGCAUUAUGGAGGUCAUUAACGAUUUUGAUAAAGAGUCAAUAACAGGAAACCACUCGAUAAAGACCCACCCCCAGAACAAAAGGUCCAAGAGAUAUUUUCUGCUCAGAACCUUCUGAGCUAGUUCAACAUGUUAACUAUGAAAGGCCGGUUCCAAAGGGACCGAGAUCUGUUUUUUGUGUUUUCUUGCAGGGCGAAGGAAGAUGACAGGGUGGAAGAGAAGUACAGAUGCGUGUGAUGGGGUGGAAGAAGAUUCACCUAACACCAGCAAGGGAUGGAAGAGCAUCCAGAUGCCUUGGAAACAACACCAACAAUGACAGGGUGGAAGAGGAUCCAGCUAACACCACCAAGCCAUUCAGAAGGAAGGCAGCCACAGGAAUGGAAACACUAACGAACUGUGACUGAUGCUGGGACUCAAUAAUUACCUUGGGCAAUUGUUGAUUGUUGUAAUUACUUCAAUUCUAUUGUUGAUUGCUAUUAAUAACUGUUUGGAGGGGUAAGUCAACAUAUGUUAUAUGGUGAUCCACAGUGGACAUUAAGGCUCACUGGCAGAAGUGUCCUCUUUUUACUUUGGAGGCAAGAGGUAACUGUUAUACCACUCCAGAGUUCUGUCAGACCAUGACUGUAGUCACAGGGUGGGAUUGUGGCAGAUGGCAACCCCCUCCCUCUUUUAAUAUGGCACAUCUUCCCCUUUCUCUGCUAUUUGAGGCUAACAGCUUCUUUUGUUUGGCCCAGAGCACCCUGGCUCCUGGGACAUUAGCAGAAGGGAAUGCCAAGGCACACUGGGCCGCGCCCAGUGUGGGGGAUGUUUGAGGGCUUCAGGGGCACCCACACUCAGUGUGGGGGGUGCAGAGAAGCUUAUACAAUGCCUACAGUCAGGUCUGAUCAGAUAACAAAACGGGACUCUCGUCGAGACUCCGCCCAUUGCCGCGGGUCUCUUGGAGCACGAGCUUGGCCACUGCCGCCACGAGAGCCCCCCUCCCCGGGAUGGAGGCUCCGCUUGCCUCGCCGCCACGGUGUAAGUAAAACUUCUCGCAGGAUUGCGAGUAUAUUUUCUUUCCGUGCACACUUGCACAAGUACUUUAUUUCCUCGCACAAUCGCGAGUGGCCGCCGAGAGCCCCUCGCACAAUCGCGAGUAUAUUUUCCUCCCGUGCUUCCACAUAAGCACGUGUAGGAUUCCGUGCACAUUUGCACGUGUAAAAUAACUCUCGCAGGACUGCGAGCGUAUUAUAAAUUUACUCUCGCGACAUCGCGAGUGCACACUUUCCGUACUCACUGCGAGUACGUGUAUCUCUAUAAAAAUAAUCCCACACCGUGUUUAGGCAAGUGUGUACUCCUCCGGGACUCGGGGACGGCUCCGGCAUUGUUUUGGUGAAGCCACGUGCAUGCACUCUGUGGACCUCCUGUUGUAUUAGUGGCUGCCCCUCUCAAUAAUUUCCUCCACUGAUAUCCGAACCUGUAUUUAAGUCACAUUUGGAGUGCUAAAACCCUGUGCCUCGCUGGUCUAAUAAAAGUUGUUUUUGGACCUUGUGGUCCCUAAAAUUGACCUGUGGGUUGCUCUGUGACAUUUCGACAUCCUGUUAUCCUGAACCCAUAUACAUUAAUGAGCAAGAUACCUCCUGGUCAUAAAUGGUUUAGCAUUAUAGAUCUUAAAGAUGCCUUCUGAGCCUGUCCAUUACAUCCAGAUAGCAGAGAUCUAUUUGCUUCUGAAUGGGAGGAUCUUUAGACAGGGCGUAAGCAACAACUUAGGUGGACUGUCUUACCCCAGGAAUUUACUGAAUUGCCUAAUUUAUUUGGGCAAGUGCUGGAGCAAAUUUUAGAACAAUUUGAACUGCCUCCAGGAAUUCUAUUAUUACAAUAUGUAGAUGAUCUACUGCUUCCUAGAGAAGAAAGGCCAGGGGUAAAGAAAGUCACCGAUUCACUUCUGAACUUCCUGGGGAAACAGGGCUUAUGAGUUUCAAAAACAAAACUGCAAUAUGUAGAGGAGGAGGUCAAAUAUUUGGAACAUCUUAUUACAGAAGGAAAGUGUAAAACAAACUCAGAGAGAAUUCAGGGGAUCGUUGAUCUACCGCUCCUAAAAACAAAAAAAAAAAAAUUGAGGAAAUUUUUGGGAUUAACUGGAUACUGUCGCUUAUGGAUUGAAGCAUAUGCACAAAAGACUAAAGGGUUAUACCUCAAGUUAUUAGAUGAGAAACCCAAUGUCCUCAUGUGGACGGGUUUUGAUAGAUAAAGAUUUGUUACUGAAUUAGUCAGGCUCAAAGGAAUCUCAAGGCCUCUUAGAGAAGCUGAGAACAGAAUCUGCUGUGAGAAAGAGGGGCGUUCCACAAUCACCGGGGUCCUGGCGUGGCGUGAAUCAUCAGACGUAUCAUCAGUGAGACUCCAGAGCACGGACAGCCCACGAUACUCAUUUAGCGAAUCCAUGCUUGGAGCGUGGACGCGUGAUUAGAAUAUAAUGGUGACCCCGAUGUGAUACUCUGAACUGCGUACCACUGAGGUCGGGGAAAAGCCUGGAGCGGCCCAGCCGGAGGCGGAUCAGCUGGACUGAAGACCGGGUGGAGGCGUACGGACGUCCCGCAUUUUUUUGAAGAAGUCACCGUAAAGGGUGAGCGGCUGGGAGCGGGAGGAGGGAAGAGUGAAGUUAUGGGGCAAAAUAUAUCCUCUGAGGAAGAAGCCAUAGUUAAACUCCUCCUGCAUAUUCUCUUUAUGAGAGGACUUAAAUAUGAAGAAAGUAACAUCCGCAGACUGUUGGUCUGGUGUAGAACUAACGGCUACCCGAUAGAAGCUGAAAAAGCUUUAAAAAUUGAACUUCGGGACGAUAUAGGGCAGAAGUUAUGGGAUCAGGUUAGCGACGGAGAUAAAAAUGCUGAAUCACUAGCGACUGCUUGGAAGCUUAUAUUGUCCGCUUUAAAAGAAUUUGAGGCCAAAUGGCCUGCGGUUACUGGAAUUUUUACAGCAUUACAGCCUGAUAAGAACUCUAAAAAUAACUGUGAAGCUUACCCAGUUCGUGUCUUUGAUCCCCUUCCUGCCCCAACCCCUGUUGCACCCCCGAUGAUACAGCAGUCUGGGGCGGGGGGAGGAAAAUCAUUCAGCAGAUGGGCCCCCAUACCAUCACACGACCCUGAAGAGACUAAGCAGUCCAAGGAACUGGAGUCAGAUAAUUUGUCAAAAGAACUGGUGAAAGCUGAUAAUGCUAAAGUCAUAAAUAAGUCUAAUAUCAGUCCUUUUACUGAUUCCUGUCCGCCUUUACCGCCUUCUAUCCCUCUAACUCCUACGCCGGAGGAGAAGCAGUUGCCGGAUAGGAGCUGGGCAAAAGAAUUGUGUGAAAAAUCAGAUCAGCUAUUAGCGAGUGAAUCCAACAGCCAGCAACGCGGUCAUGCUGAUCGUGACGGGAAAGGGGAUUCGUUGAAAGGGGCAGGUAUCCCACAACUCCUGGAAGAGACACUAAUUGACACACCACAGCUACAGACACGACAAUUUUCUGAAAUCCUGAGGCAGUCAACAGAUCUUGCAUAUCCAGCUAUGAGAGAGGUGUCUGAAACCAACAAAGCAGCCAAAUAAUUUGCAACUAUUGAUCAGGGUCCCAAUAAGAAUUACAUGCAAUUUAUUGACCACCUUCAAGAGGCCAUCAGUAAGCAGGUCGAAAACUUAGAAGCUAAGGAAGCACUAGUGUUGAGAUUAGCAGUAGAGAAUGCUAAUGUUUGCUAUCAACAUGUUAUUUGCGAGUUUUACAGUACAUAUUAUGUGCUCCUGUGUAUUGCCUCUCUGAAAAUCAAGCAGCUUGUCGGGAAUGUGACUUAAUUCUUUUACUAGUUGUUUUUAAGUGCGCCGUAAAACCUUCUCCCCGCUGUUCCCAUUCACGCUGUUCCCUGUGCCACCCACCCCCCACCUUUGCCCCCCUCCCCCUCCCUCCCUCCCUCUUCUCAAGGUUUUUACUUGCAAGAUGGGGUCAGUAAUAAUUGUUUUCAGUCGUGUUCCUAAAAAAUCAGUAUUGGGAGGUGUUUUAAAACUUAGCAAAGCACUCGGAAUUAUAAGGAAGGAAGAUCUUGUUAAAUACUGAAAUCAGCGUUAGCUGCUGUAUAAGUUAAAUGAUUGGGAAAAGUGUCCGGAGAAUAGAAUCUUGUUGCGAUUAAUGUUGUUUUUCAGGCCAGAAGAGCAGGACAAAACAAAUCUCUACAAGAAAUCAUUAAAUCGUUUCAGACAGUUUUACAGGCAGGGCGAUUUGAACUUCAGCAAGCUGAGAAAGUUAACUGAUAACACGCAGGUCACAGUAAACUUGCUGAAGUCUGCACAAUGCUUUCCUUAUUAACCUGUUUUCUUUGUGGGUAUCUGUUUAAGUAUGUUGCAAUUUUGGUAGGUCUGUGCUAUAUGGUACGAUAAGUUCCCAGUCUGUUAAAUCAUGAGCAAUUUACUUCCUUACUGCGUGAACGUGAUGUUAAGAUUUUAUGUGUAGUAGCUGUUAUAUUUUUUUCUAGCAUACUAACUUUAUUCCAGUAUCCAGACUUGCGCAACUCUGUGACAGGCUGUGUCUCAUCUCGAUGUGCUGGAUUUGAAAGAAUCCUAGUUUUGGAAUAACAGCUGUAGCGCACCAGAUGAGACACUAAAAAAACCAAACCAAACCAAACCAAAACAAAAAGGCCUUGCCCAGUGCAGCUCGCUGCGGCGGCGGUGGGUGCCAGAUGGUUUUCCAGCGCGCACUGACUUUUUUUGCCAGGGAGACCCAGAGGUACCUCCACCUGGCUGAGCAGUGAGCGGCCCACAGGUGCAAUGCAAAAAUUGAGAUAUUGUCUUAUUCAUAUUUGGUACCAAAAGAAUCUUGUUUGGGGAGAUAAUUACAAAAUGGGAACCGGUUCCACUGCUAAAAUUCCACCUUGCUCCCCCUUAGGAUGCAUCCUUAUAAAUUAGAGUAAUUGCUUAUAUUGUUAGAAAAGCAUUUAAAUUGUUAAAAUGCUAUGAUAGAUUUGAAUUUAGAAGAGGUUGUAUUUAAAAGUUGCUAGAAUAUUAACUGGUUUAGAUCUAGGAAAAUAGAAUGAUGGAUUUAUGUUUGCUAUACUGGUUUAUACUGUUUUUUGACAUCUCUAAAUUGUAAAAGGUAAAUGGAGCUAAGGAAUGUAACUAUUGCUGAGCUACUUGAAAUUGCAUAUAAAGUGUAUUAUGGCUGGAAUGAAAUGGGAAAACAAAAGACCAAAACAUCCCAGGCCUGUGUGCAGCUCAUUGUAACUGAGAAGUUUCCCAGAGCCUCCUACUUCGUACCAGCCAGUAUGCCAGCUGUGUGACCUUGGUUAUAUCUACACUGCAAAGAAAGAAAAAACAACUGGAAAAACCUGGCUGCCUGCUUUUAAAGCAGUGAAAGGGGGGUUCUCUCCCCCCCCACUACAGCGAUGUAAUACUGAAUGGAGCAGUCCGAGGGUGAAGUUUAAAGGCAUCCUUAGCAGACCCGUAGUUCUAAUGAAACUGGAAAAUAAAAACAAAAAUUUGUUAAUAGACUUAUUCUGUGGUAAUUAGUUGUAAGAGACUUCUUAGUAAAUUCACCAUGAUAGUUUUUGAGGUCAUGGGAGAGAAUGAAAGAAAGGCCGUUUUUUGAGACUAAUAGAAUGCCAAAUUUGGAACAAAGUUUUAAUACAUGAAUUCUUAUAGUUGCCAGGAAGUCCUAUACCUCUCUUAGGUUAAGAUUUGUUAAGCAAAUUGUAAGCUCAAAUAACGUUUUCUGAGUAUUCUGUUUAGUUGCAUGGCCUACAAGAAGCUGCUGGGAUGGUGCAGAUCUGCUUGCUGCAAGUGAGAAAUCUCCAAGGAAAUUUCAAAUGCUGUGUUUCCACUAAGUAUUAACAGCCAAUGUUUCGAUAAAGCAAAUACUACACUGAUAGAUCUGAAACAGGACUUUGAUCCGGUAAGGGAAAACAAUAUCCAAUAAAUAUGACAGCCAAAACGGAGUUGGAAACUUUGAGGAAUGAAUUUAUGACGACUUUACAGGAUGACUGCAUUCGAUUGGACUUGCAGAUUUGUCUAUGAAACAACCUGUGGCUAUUGUGGGACAGUAUGAUGAGAAUGCUAACAGACUGAUAUACCCAUUGUCACUCUGAUCAAGAAAAUGCAGGGAAUGAAUUUAAGUCUUAAUAGGCCAUGAUCCUUUUGUCAUCUAUGUACUAUUUGUGAAAUUGAAUUCUGAUUUUUUUUUUAUUUGUAAUCUAUGUCUUUCUAAAUUGCACUAGCUGGUUUUCUUAACAGCACAGCUUUUGGUAUGCAUAAAUGUAAAAUGUAAAUUGCUGCAGAACCUGUAAGUCUUUAACAUCAGGUCAUAGGCCAUACUUGUAUUUGGUCUGAUCCUACAUACUUGCACAGUUUUUGUUGAUGGUUUUGGGAAGUCUCAUAAAGCUGUAGUGGUUUAGCGUGAAGAUAGCGAUUAGCAUCAUUCUGUGAAAAUUAUUGACAGUUCAACCCAAUUAGCAGAACUUGGCACAGCUUUACAUUACUUAGAGCCUUUUAAGGAGGAACCUCUAAAUUUGAUUUGUGACUUUGAGUACGUAGUCAAGAUCUAACACACGUAUCUGGUUCUGAACCUUUUUUUUUUUUUUUUUUUUUUUUUUUUUAAAGAAAAGGGGGGAAGUAGGGGAAACACCACAAAACCAAUUGUCAAAAGCAUUGUAUGUGAUGAAAUACUUUGCAAGUAUGACCCAAAACCAUGCUAAAUCAGAAAUAACCUACAUUAGUUAUGGUCAAAUUACUAGUCAAUGAAAAAGGCUUCAUCAAUUGAUAACCUGGGGAAGAGGUUAUGUUUGUGUCAUUACAGGCUGAGGAUUGAAGUGGAUUCAACAAAGAUUCAACAGAUGUAGAAGGGCAGGAGGGAGAUAAGUUGUGAGGACUCUUUCAGAUGUAAACCAUGGAUCCUAAUUCAGUGUUAUAUAUGCUCACAGACCUGGUGGUCUAGAAGCCUAUUAGCAAACAGGUGGUGUACCUUCUGUGGAGAAUGGCAAUUUGAACAAUCAGCAGGAGAUCCAAAAGGGUGAUAUUAUGAUCAUAUAGUCAAUGCAUUGAUAAGGUAAAACUAUGAGAUAUCUGUUCCAUAGUAAUCUAAGUUUAGCAACUGAUAAAGUUUUAGAAGGGAUAUUAAGGUUAAGCUAUUGAUCUUUUAAAUAGGUUAAGAUAACUUUUAAGAUAUUAAUUCAAUUAUUAGUAUAUGCUGAUGGUAUUAAGUAUAUUACUCUAUAAACUGCGCAGUAAUAGAUAUUUAGGAGGUUAAGAGAAAAUAUUGUAUUAACUUGUCUGGUUAUUUUGAAUCUAUUAAAAUAGUGUGUUGAUAAGGUUGUUAUAACAGAAUUAAGGUUUUAAGAAUAGGCAGGUAGUUGUUUGAUCUUAGUAAGUAAGGUUUAACUGCAUUAUAUGUAAUUGUAAUUAUGUUGUUAAUCACGUGUUCUGUGUUGCAGUAUAUUUCAAAAAUGAUUCGCCGUGCGGUUGAUGGGGCCUGACUAAUUCAAGAAAAAGAAAGGGGGAAGUGUGGACGGGUUUUGAUAGAUAAAGAUUUGUUGCUGAAUUAGUCAGGCUCAAAGGAAUCUCAAGGCCUCUUAGAGAAGCUGAGAACAGAAUCUGCUGUGAGAGAGAGGGGCGUUCCACAAUCACCGGGGUCCUGGCGUGGCGUGAAUCAUCGGACGUAUCAUCAGUGAGACUCCAGAGCACGGACAGCCCACGAUACUCAUUUAGCGAAUCCACGCUUGGAGCGUGGACGCGUGAUUAGAAUAUAGUUACGUAUAUAAGGAGACUUGUUUCUGUAAUAAAUGGCUUAGCGUGAUUCACAUUGAA